UCACAAGGGAGGGAGAAAACAGGACAAAAGAAUAGGCAGUGUGUUUCCGAAUGUCAAAUUAGAAGAAAAAAAAUUGCCAUAUAAACAUCCCAACAUAUGGAAGUAGGCUGAAGAAAGAAAGAAAGAAAGAAAGAAAAAAAAAAGAUUCUACUCCACUCACUGCAAUCCAAAGCCAACCAUUACACACAGAGAGCCAAUUAUGUGCUUUCGUCCUCGCUCUGCCUCCUGCUCCAACUGGCUUUUCUCUGAACACAUGACCAGGGCAGCCCCUCUCCCUCUGUAUCCCGUUGGUCUGAAAUUGACCAGAGCUAGUGUCUCCUGUUAAGCAUUAAGUCGAGGGGAAUUACUGCGGCUCCCACGGCCCACGUCAGUGAUAAAAAUAGAGACGGACACUGUACUUUCAGAACAGAGGGAAGAAGACGCAGAUGAAGAGACAGAUGAGAGCUGCCAGAGAGCUGCCAUCCAUGGGGGACCUCUACACCCAGCGGUGCAGGAAGAAAGCCAAAAGCAAACCACCACAAACUGCUCUGCCUGCUGCCAUCCGUGAUUAACACACAUGA